UCGGGAAUUUUGGGCAAUGGGCGAAAGCCUGACCCAGCAACGCCGCGUGAAGGAUGAAGUAUUUCGGUAUGUAAACUUCGAAAGAAUAGGAAGAAUAAAUGACGGUACUAUUUAUAAGGUCCGGCUAACUACGUGCCAGCAGCCGCGGUAAUACGUAGGGACCAAGCGUUGUUCGGAUUUACUGGGCGUAAAGGGCGCGUAGGCGGUGUGUCAAGUCAGUUGUGAAAUCUCCGAGCUUAACUCGGAACGGUCAACUGAUACUGUCACACUAGAGUACAGAAGGGGCAAUCGGAAUUCUUGGUGUAGCGGUGAAAUGCGUAGAUAUCAAGAGGAACACCUGAGGCGAAGGCGGCUAACUGGUCCGGUACUGACGCUGAGGUGCGAAAGCGUGGGGAGCAAACAGGAUUAGAUACCCCCGUAGUCCCUGAGCGGGCUGGCAAGGCGCAU
rnacentral:rRNA from 1 species